CGGUCCAGACUCGCUACGGGAGGCAGCAGUAGGGAAUCUUCCGCAAUGGGCGAAAGCCUGACGGAGCAACGCCGCGUGAGUGAUGAAGGUUUUCGGAUCGUAAAACUCUGUUAUUAGGGAAGAACAAAUGCGUAAGUAACUGUGCGCAUCUUGACGGUACCUAAUCAGAAAGCCACGGCUAACUACGUGCCAGCAGCCGCGGUAA
rnacentral:rRNA from 1 species